UAGGGAAUCUUCCGCAAUGGACGCAAGUCUGACGGAGCAACGCCGCGUGAGUGAAGAAGGAUUUCGGUUCGUAAAACUCUGUUGUUAGAGAAGAACAGCGCAUAGAGUAACUGUUAUGCGUGUGACGGUAUCUAACCAGAAAGCCACGGCUAACUACGUGCCAGCAGCCGCGGUAAUACGUAGGUGGCAAGCGUUGUCCGGAUUUAUUGGGCGUAAAGCGAGCGCAGGCGGUCAAUUAAGUCUGAUGUGAAAGGCCCCGGCUCAACCGGGGAGGGUCAUUGGAAACUGGUUGACUUGAGUGCAGAAGAGGAGAGUGGAAUUCCAUGUGUGGCGGUGAAAUGCGUAGAUAUAUGGAGGAACACCAGUGGCGAAGGCGACUCUCUGGUCUGUAACUGACGCUGAAGUUCGAAAGCGUGGGUAGCAAACAGG
rnacentral:rRNA from 1 species